rnacentral:rRNA from 1 species
UACGAAGGGUGCAAACGUUGCUCGGAAUUAUUGGGCGUAAAGCGCACGUAGGCGGCUUUGCAAGUCCCAUGUGAAAGCCCACGGCUCAACCGUGGAAGUGCAUGGGAAACUGCAGAGCUUGAGUACUUAAGAGGAUCGCGGAAUUCCCGGUGUAGAGGUGAAAUUCGUAGAUAUCGGGAGGAACACCAGUGGCGAAGGCGGCGAUCUGGACAAGUACUGACACUCAACUACGAAAGCGUGGGGAGCAAACAGG